rnacentral:rRNA from 1 species
CAGCAGCCGCGGUAAUACGUAGGUGGCAAGCGUUGUCCGGAUUUACUGGGCGUAAAGAGCGCGCAGGCGGCUGGUCAAGUCCGAUGUGAAAUCUCCCGGCUCAACUGGGAAACUGCAUCGGAAACUGAUCGGCUUGAAGGUGGGAGAGGGUAGUGGAAUUCCCGGUGUAGUGGUGAAAUGCGUAGAUAUCGGGAGGAACACCAGUGGCGAAGGCGACUACCUGGCCCAUUCUUGACGCUGAGGCGCGAAAGCUAGGGGAGCGAACGGG